GUGAACGCUGGCGGUAGGCCUAACACAUGCAAGUCGAACGGCAGCACAGUAAGAGCUUGCUCUUCCGGGUGGCGAGUGGCGGACGGGUGAGGAAUACAUCGGAAUCUACUUUUUCGUGGGGGAUAACGUAGGGAAACUUACGCUAAUACCGCAUACGACCUACGGGUGAAAGCAGGGGAUCUUCGGACCUUGCGCGAUUGAAUGAGCCGAUGUCGGAUUAGCUAGUUGGCGGGGUAAAGGCCCACCAAGGCGACGAUCCGUAGCUGGUCUGAGAGGAUGAUCAGCAACACUGGAACUGAGACACGGUCCAGACUCCUACGGGAGGCAGCAGUGGGGAAUAUUGGACAAUGGGCGCAAGCCUGAUCCAGCCAUACCGCGUGGGUGAAGACGGCCUUCGGGUUGUAAAGCCCUUUUGUUGGGAAAGAAAAGCAGCAGGUUAAUACCCCGCUGUUCUGACGGUACCCAAAGAAUAAGCACCGGCUAACUUCGUG
rnacentral:rRNA from 1 species